rnacentral:rRNA from 1 species
UACGUAGGGUGCAAGCGUUGUCCGGAAUUAUUGGGCGUAAAGAGCUCGUAGGCGGUCUGUCGCGUCUGCUGUGAAAACUCAGGGCUUAACCCUGAGCUUGCAGUGGGUACGGGCAGACUAGAGUGCGGUAGGGGAGACUGGAGUUCCUGGUGUAGCGGUGAAAUGCGCAGAUAUCAGGAGGGAACACCGGUGGGCGAAGGCGGGUCUCUGGGCCGUAACUGACGCUGGAGGAG